UACGAAGGGGGGCUAGCGUUGUUCGGAAUUACUGGGCGUAAAGCGCACGUAGGCGGAUAUUUAAGUCAGGGGUGAAAUCCCAGAGCCCAACUCUGGAACUGCCUUUGAUACUGGGUAUCUUGAGUAUGGAAGAGGUAAGUGGAAUUGCGAGUGUAGAGGUGAAAUUCGUAGAUAUUCGCAGGAACACCAGUGGCGAAGGCGGCUUACUGGUCCAUAACUGACGCUGAGGUGCGAAAGCGUGGGGAGCGAACAGG
rnacentral:rRNA from 1 species